rnacentral:rRNA from 1 species
GGAGUUAGCCGGUGCUUCUUCUGCGAGUAACGUCACAGAUGUAAGGUAUUAACUUACACCCUUUCCUCCUCGCUGAAAGUGCUUUACAACCCGAAGGCCUUCUUCACACACGCGGCAUGGCUGCAUCAGGGUUUCCCCCAUUGUGCAAUAUUCCCCACUGCUGCCUCCCGUAGGAGUCUGGGCCGUGUCUCAGUCCCAGUGUGGCUGAUCAUCCUCUCAGACCAGCUAGGGAUCGUCGCCUAGGUGAGCCUUUACCUCACCUACUAGCUAAUCCCACCUGGGCUUAUCCAUCAGCGCAAGGCCCGAAGGUCCCCUGCUUUCCCCCGUAGGGCGUAUGCGGUAUUAGCAGUCGUUUCCAACUGUUAUCCCCCACAAAUGGGCAAAUUCCCAGGCAUUACUCACCCGUCCGCCGCUCGUCAUCUUCAAAAGCAAGCUUUUGAAAUGUUACCGCUCGACUUGCAUGUGUUAGGCCUGCCGCCAGCGUUCAAUCUGAACGACGAUCGAAAUUCUAACGUACUUGAACGUCGGGACGUCGGGGCCUAAGGGGCCGAACGGACGUACGAUAG